GGCCAUAGCUCAGUGGUAAAGUGUUUGCUUUGCAUACAGAAGGUGCCAAGUUCAAUCCCUGUUGGCAUCU